CCCCGCAAGGGGUUAGUAGAGUGGCAAACGGGUGAGUAACACGUGGGUGACCUGCCUUCGAGCGGGGGAUAACGUCCCGAAAGGGACGCUAAUACCGCAUAACAUCCUGCCUUUUAAGAGGUGGAGAUCAAAGCCGGGGAUCGCAAGACCUGGCACUUGAAGAGGGGCCCGCGUCUGAUUAGCUAGUUGGUGGGGUAAUGGCCUACCAAGGCAACGAUCAGUAUCCGGCCUGAGAGGGCGGACGGACACACUGGGACUGAGACACGGCCCAGACUCCUACGGGAGGCAGCAGUGGGGAAUUGUUCGCAAUGGGCGCAAGCCUGACGACGCAACGCCGCGUGGAGGAUGAAGACCUUCGGGUCGUAAACUCCUUUCGAUCGAGACGAAUGUUUUCCGGCUGAAUAAUCCGGAAAAGUGACGGUACCGAGAGAAGAAGCCCCGGCUAACUCUGUGCCAGCAGCCGCGGUAAUACAGGGGGGGCAAGCGUUGUUCGGAAUUACUGGGCGUAAAGGGCUCGUAGGUGGCCAACUAAGUCAGACGUGAAAUCCCUCAGCUUAACUGGGGAACUGCGUCUGAUACUGGAUGGCUUGAGUUUGGGAGAGGGAUGCGGAAUUCCAGGUGUAGCGGUGAAAUGCGUAAAUAUCUGGAGGAACACCGGUGGCGAAGGCGGCAUCCUGGACCAACGCUGACACUG
rnacentral:rRNA from 1 species